UACGUAGGGGGCAAGCGUUGUCCGGAAUCAUUGGGCGUAAAAGCGCGCGUAGGCGGCCCGGUAAGUCCGUUGUGAAAGUCGAAGGCUCAACCCUCGAAUGCCGGUGGAUACUGUCGGGCUAGAGUGCGGAAGAGGCGAGUGGAAUUCCUGGUGUAGCGGUGAAAUGCGCAGAUAUCAGGAGGAACACCAAUGGCGAAGGCAGCUCGCUGGGACGGUACUGACGCUGAGGCGCGAAAGCGUGGGGAGCAAACAGG
rnacentral:rRNA from 1 species